UUGUUCCAUAUAUUACCAGAA
ensembl:piRNA 21ur-10563 ncRNA